rnacentral:lncRNA from 14 species
AGGAGGAGGAGUUAAGCUGCCUCACUGCAGGGGACCCUGUACACUGAAAUGAUGUUGGAGAAUUCACCAGGACCUUGCCUUCCUAGGUACCAGUUCCCUAAACAUGGCCUGACUUCACACCUGGAAGAAGAGGCACCACAAGCAACAGAGGAAGACAGUGAUGCAGUAAUGUGGAGAAGUCCUGAGAGGAGACCUGAAGAACUAGUCCCAGGGCAGAGCUUCCCCUGCAGAGGAACCAGCCACAGGGCAGGAAUGGAGGACCUACCCGUGGACAACUUCUGACAUGUCUGUGUUGGGAUCUUCUCUGAUGACACACCGGAAUUGCACCAGGACGCUCAGAAACAGCAGGGUUUUGGUGAGUGCUAUACCGGUGAGCCACCCUGGGACCUUUGUGCCAGGGAAACAAGCCUGUAAAGAGCUUCGAUUUUGGCAGCCUUCCAGGAAAUGACCCCCAGUAUCGAUCUCCGGGAGCCUGCACUAGCUCCAAGCCAGGACCGUGUCACAUGUAAACUUUGCAAAAGAAUCUUCAGCAGCCAAGUAGGUCUCAGGAGACAUGAGCUAUCCUACAGCCGAAAGAGGCCUUUUAGAUGUGCACAGUGCAUUGAUACCACACAGCUCUCGUGCUAUGCCUCAACAGACACCUGAUGUUCUGGUGAGUGUUAACACCACGUCUGUUCUAUGCCACGAGGAAGGGUUCGUGAAACAGCAAAAUCUUUUAUUGUUCCCACCACAUAAGUGGAGUCGCUGAUUGAUCAGGACAGCAAAUGAGGACUGGAACCUUGUUUCUUCUGGCAGCCAGGGUUUAUAGGCAUAAAGACUGCAAGCAUCUGGCCCAGGUUAAAGUUAUAAUUCUCACCAAUCAGGAUUCGGGGAUUAGGGACUUUCCCCAGUGUUCCAUCGUUGUCAACUGACAUUGAAUGUUAAGUGGUUUUAUCCAACCAGUCAAAUUUAUUUGUUCUUUCUGUUGUUAGGAACAGGUAUUAUGUUUUGGGGGGACCAUUGCUGCUUAGAGAGGGAGUUGGUUAGCUUAGGUAAAAUGAAGUCUGAAGUUAAAAUGGUAGUAUAUAAGACAUGUUUUGAUUUGGUUUGGUCUGGUUUUACCUGUUCCAUGUUCCCAGCAGUGAGAAGUCUCUGAUGGGCAGUAAAGAUAAGAAUUCCCUGCACUAAGUAGGCAGCCGGGGGCCAGGCAGCAUGUGGGGGCUGGGACACAGCUUGCAGAGCCCAUGUAGCAAAGCUGUGCACCUCUCUCAGCAUCCCAAAGCCCACAAGGUAGCCAAGUCCCAUUUCUCCGAGUUCUACCACAAGAUGCAUGCUGUCCACUAAGAGCAGAGACAAGACCACAUGGGGAGAGAGCCUGACACCGUUGUGACUGUAGCAGAAUGUUCAGGCAGAGCUCCUAUCUUAUUGAUCACUUCUAAGUUCAGGCCUCACCAGUUGCCAUCCCUCUAGGAAGAGCUUCAGCCAACCCUCAUGGCCUCCUCAGCACUAGCAGCUGCAGCCUCAAGAGAGACAGGUGCAGACACAGGACAGCUGCUGUUCAGAAAGCCAGAGAGCAACACUGUCCUAACACGUCGGCUUUCUCCUGCAGAGCAGUGUCUUUCAACCUUCCUAAUGCUACAACCCUUUAAUAUAGUUCUUUGUGUUGUGGUGACCCCCAACCAUAAAAUUAUUUUUGUUGCUACUUUAUAGCUGUAAAGAUGCUACCAUUAUGAAUCUUGAUGUAAAUAUAUAUUUUCUGAUGGCGUUAGGUUAAUCAUUAUGAAGGGGUCAUUUGAACCCCACCCCCACAAAGGUGUUGGGACCCACAGGUUGAGAACUGCUGCUGGGGAGAGACCUUUUGAGUGCCUGAAUUUGAAAAGGCCCUCUACCAGGCCUUGUAAACUUGAAAAUUUGGUGUGAUGGGGUCAAAACUUUUGUAAGGAGGAGUCUCCAAUGCUUUAGGUGUCUCACAGGCAAAAACCAUUCAAAGAGUGUUUCUGUUAUAUAGGAAAGAAGUGCAAAGAUUUUGCCUCAUUUUAUUUGGUAGGGAGAGGGAGAGCCUUGGUUGUAACAUAUUGGUGAAAAGCUUACUUUUGAUGGUUGGAUUCUAAACUGGCAGUCUAUAUAUAGCCUGGGUUCCCACAGAAGUGUUAACAUGAAGUGUCUCGACACAUGGCAUAGAAGAAUUUCAGGGAUCUUAACCUCAAUCAGUCCCCUCUCAGAGCCGAUGUUAAUGAUGUGUUGUCAUGGUACCCCCAUUCUUUAUAAAAAUGUGUGACCUUCCUUGCCCAUGUAUAACUCUAUGAAGGCAAAUGGAGCAGAGACAGUGCAGGAGGGAUUGUGAAGCCCUGUGAAUAUGUACAGUAAUGAUGACACACUGGGAUGAACUGCGGGGUGAUAGACCAACUUUACUUGGGGCAAUUAAACGAUUAUAUAGUUCUGGGGUUGGAGGGGACAGAUGAACUUUACUUGGGGUGAUUCAAGGAUUAUAUAGUUCUGGGAAUAGGAGUGUCCAGGGUGGGCAAAGGUCAUUGGCUGAAGGUGUAAGGUUCUGAGAUGCCUCAUUAGCAUGAAGAACCAUUCCCCAGAAUCUCAAGCACUACCAGAAUGGGUUCUUAACAGGAAAAAGGAAGUUGAACCUGUAAUCUAACCAAAGCUACAUGACAUUCUGUAGGUAGAGGCAUGUGUGGG